rnacentral:misc_RNA from 1 species
CGAAUGCCUCGAUUCACAAAAAUAACAUUGCAUUGCAAUCCGGCGUUAAUCGAAGUUUUGGAUUUUUUAAAGGAUUUUUUUAAUAUAGGUGAAAUAUCACUUCAAACUACGUUUUCGUUCGCAGCUGUUUUGUGUGCGCAUCGUCUUUGCGCAUGGAACUAUUGACGCCUGAGUUGUGUCGUCACUGUCACUGAUCCACCUCCGCAGCCCACUGUAGUCUCACGGGGAAACUCGGGCUGUGUUGCUGGAUUAUAUGAUCGACUACAGCAUCCGAUGUACCUGAGAAGGCAUGGCGGAGGAACGGUCAUCAGAGCCAGUCCAUCUGGAGCCCUUCAUUCACCAGGUGGGCGGGCACAGUCACAUGUUCUCUCUUGACGAGAUCACUGUGUGCAAGCCGCUCAUCACCAGAGAACUCCACUUCUAUGAGAGUAUGCCUGACCAAAUGAAACAAUUUGCACCAGAGUACAAGGGGGUCAUUGAGGUGAACUUUGUGGAAGAUGCAGAUGGCUAUGUUACCCUCGUAGCUUACCCACCCAAAAGCUAUGAACGCAAAUUGUCCGUACAACGCAGCGAAUCCAAAUCGAAACGAAGUCGUAUCCGGAUGCGUCCGUCGGGCAGUCUGGAGAUCGAAGGUGAACAGAAACAGCCACAGGUGUUCGAGGAGGCCGAGCCGCGCGGUGACGAGGCCGCCGCCGGUCACGUGCCGCACAACCCGUGGCUGCUGCGCUGCGACCGGAACCAGCUCACCCAGCUGGCGGCGGGCGCGCUGGGCUCGGGCUCCAGUGGCGGUGGCAGCUCCAGCCACCGUGCAGCGCCACCACAGAAGUACAUCCUUCUGGAGAACUUGACGCACAAGUACCAGUACCCAUGUGUACUGGACCUGAAGAUGGGCACCCGGCAGUACGCCGACGACGACUCGGCCGCCAAGCAGCAGCGGAAGAAGGCCAAGGUGGCCACCACUACCUCUUCCACCCUCGGAGUCCGCAUCAACGGCAUGCAGGUGUACCAGGUAAACCUUUCUCGCUUCAUCUGCCGAAACAAAUACUAUGGCCGCAAGCUGACAGUGGACGGCUUCAAACAAGCACUGUGUCAGUUUAUCCACAACGGCACCACGCUGCGCACGGACCUCCUCCCAGCCAUGAUCGCGCGCCUCUCGGAACUGCGGAGCGUGCUGCAGCGCCAGCACUCGUUCCGUUUCUUCACCUCCUCCCUGCUGGUCAUCUAUGACGGCCAGGAAGCGAUGCACGACCAGCCGGAGCGAUCCGCACGAGGAGACGUCGACGUGAGGAUGAUCGACUUCGCGCACGCGACGCACCAAAACUUUGACGACCCGGUGCAGCACAGUGGGCCCGACCAGGGCUUCAUAUUCGGCGUGGAGAGUCUGAUCUCGAUGCUGAAAACUGUGUUGCAGGAGUACGGGUAGUGGCGAGCGGUGCGGCUCGAAGGCAGUACAAAGCUGGGACGGCGGCAGCGCGGCCCGCGACAAAUUCUCAGUGACUGCUGUUCGGCGGCGAACGGACGGCUGGUGGGAGACGAAAGGUGACCGGCGGCGCGCACCACACAUCGGGCGAGCGAAUCGAACGCACCGAGCGAGCCGUAGAGACCGGGGACGGUCCUGUAGGAACUGACUGACACUGGUGGCGGGCGACGGACGGACGUAGGCAGACAGCGGACGCGGGCGACCGUCUCGCGGCGGCGCGGGCGCCAGCUCGAGUUUUGGACGCCCACCGGCGGCGCCGGUCGCCUCCGCAAGUGCAAUUACCGAUCGUAGCUGUGAUGGUGUUAUGUUCCCGUCGCAGUGCGGCGCCGUGCGCGCGUGCAGUCUCUUGUAUCGGAGCGAGUCAGUGAGCGAUGUGAGAGUGACCGGCGCGGGACCUGCCGCGACAGGAGCGCGCGGAGGUGAUUCGUGACCAGUGUGCGGUGCGUCAGACGGCGCAUUGUACUGAGCCGCGACGGCCCGACGGCCGGCGCUCUAAGUUAUUCGUGAAGGGCGGCAGAGUUGUCGGUGGUGGGAGCGCGCUGUCCUGCCGGGCGCGCCCCGAUACUAUGGCAGACGCGCUGAGGAGACCACAGUGGAGACGUGCGGACACGUCCCAAAUAAAUUGUCCGUCGAAUUC